rnacentral:rRNA from 1 species
UACGGGGGGGGCAAGCGUUGUUCGGAAUUACUGGGCGUAAAGGGCUCGUAGGUGGCCAACUAAGUCAGACGUGAAAUCCCUCGGCUUAACCGGGGAACUGCGUCUGAUACUGGAUGGCUUGAGUUUGGGAGGGGGAUGCGGAAUUCCAGGUGUAGCGGUGAAAUGCGUAGAUAUCUGGAGGAACACCGGUGGCGAAGGCGGCAUCCUGGACCAACACUGACACUGAGGAGCGAAAGCCAGGGGAGCAAACGGG